GAUGAACGCUAGCGGCAGGCUUAAUACAUGCAAGUCGAGGGGCAUCAAGGUACACGAAAGUGUAUUGUUGGCGACCGGCGGACGGGUGAGUAAUAGGUAGGUAACCUACCUCAUACUGAGGCAUAGCUGGGAGAAAUUCCAGGUAAUUCCUCAUGAGGUUAUAUGACACAUGUGAUAUAAUCAAAGGUAUCGCAAGGUACUGGUAUGAGAUGGGCUUACUGACCAUUAGCUAGUUGGUGAGAUAAGAGCUCACCAAGGCGAAGAUGGUUAGGGGUUUUGAGAGAGAGAUCCCCCACAUUGGAACUGAGAUACGGUCCAGACUCCUACGGGAGGCAGCAGUAGGGAAUAGUUGGGCAAUGGGCGGAAGCCUGACCCAGCCAUGCCGCGUGAAGGAAGACGGCCCUAUGGGUUGUAAACUUCUUUACUAUGCGACUAACUAGAUUUACGAGAUAAUUCUAUAGAAUGUAGCAUAGACAAAAAGCACCGGUA
rnacentral:rRNA from 1 species